GUCAGCUCUAGCCUUCUUAAAGACGCUCUAAAUGUAAGUCCGAUAGUUAAAACAAAUGUUGGGUGAAACAAGUGUAAAAAUUGAGCUUUGAAUUUUUUUCAUCAAUGUUAUAACUGUGUUCAUUUUUUUUUUUCUUUUUUUGAAACAUUAGACAAAGAGGGAUAAGAUUCAGAGGCUACUCGGACAAAGGGAGGGCAUAAUCAUCAAAGCAUCUGAAGAACAAAUUAAAGCCACGACACACCAUGAGGAAGGUGGUGGCAUAUGGCCAUUUGGUGGCUAAUCUAAACACACAUUUAAUCUGUUUAGCAAGCACCCUUCCCAAUGGAACCAGGAUCGAUGACAGCUCCAUACUACAACUCAAGGGCCACAAAGAUAGCUGUGGUGACUAAUGAGAAAGGAUACUUUGAGAUGGCAUGUCCUCACUUGUCCUCUUCGGAGUCCGGUGGCACCGGCAGCAGCAGAGGAAGGCAUGAAGGGGUAGAGGAUUGCACCAGCAGCAAUGCAAGAGUAGUGGCCCAAGGUACCAGAAAGUGAGAUGCCGCCUGAGCCGUGGUGUGGUGUUUAUCAUUCCCCCCGGUCGCCCAAUCAUCACCAUCGUUUCCAAGAAUCAAAAUCUGCAAAUUGUCUGCUUCGACGUCAAUGCUCUGAACAAUGAGAAAUUCCCUCUUGCAGAAAUUGAGUUGGUUUUGCUAUCCAAUUCAUGCUCUUCCAAAGCGUUCCUCACAAAAGCUUUGAAUUUCAGUAUACUUUAUCUCAUUGUACGAUUGAAAGCAAGCGAGGAAAUGCUUUCUGAGUUCCUUCGAUCUGGCACAUCUUUGAACUUAUUGAAGCUUGAGAAAGAAGUCCUGCUCUGCUGCCCUAUGUUAAGCAAAUGCCACUAUUUUUUCAAAGCUGGAUACUCAUGAUCAUGUCAUUGGCAAGAUGGAACCAAAUUAUUGAUGCUUGGAUUGAUGGAGUUUAAUGAUGGUUUUAUAAAGAUGUACUUUG